UUCACAAUCCCCAGCAGCUCAUAAAUAGAGAUGCUCCGUCUCCUGUCUAACUUGAAGUCUUUUCUCUCCAACGACGUUGAGUUCCCAGCAACCUUCAGCCAUGAAGAUUCUCCACCUUCUCUUUGCUGUCUUCUUCCUGCUGCUGCAAAGCUCUCCAGGAUACACCCAGUACGUCAGUAACCCCGAAGCAUGCAGACGUGCGAGGGGCUUUUGCCGCCCUCAAUGCUUUCCUCAUUUUUCAUCUAUUGGAACUUGCGGUUUUGUAGGGAGCUGCUGUAAAAGGAAAAAGUUUUGAUUCCGAGCGUCAGCAGCAGAGAUUGUUAAUGCAGGAUCUCCGGGAAACUGCCAGAGGACACCUGGCUUCUAAAGUCAUUGGACGCUUUUCUUCUUCGAUGCAAAGAAUCUCGCAAACCUUAAAAUCUACAAGGAAGCCCUUGUGUUACUUCUACUAGCUUCUUCCUCUCCUUAUAAUAAAAGAAACUGCUUGUAGUGCAGCAUCACAA